rnacentral:lncRNA from 1 species
UUUUUUUUUCUUCAUCCAUUUCUGCGGCAGUAUUUUCCGCCAUUGUCUUCCACCUCACUUAUUUGUUCUUCUGCCUUAGCUAUUUUACUAUUGAUUCUUCUAGAAUAUUUUGCAUUUCAGUUACUGUACUGUUGAUUGUUGUUCUUUAAAUCUUCUAGCUCUUUAUUAAACAUUUCUUGUAUCUUCUUGAUCUCUGUCUCCAUUAUUUUUUCUGAGAUCUUGGAUCAUCUUUACUGUAAUUACUCUGAAUUCUUUUUCAGGUACAUUGCCUAUCUCUAUUUAGUUGUUUUUGUUGGGUUUUAUAUUGUUCCUUCAUCAGAAACAUAUUUUUCUACCUUCUCAUUUUGUCUAAAUUUUGGUUUGGUGGUCUCCUUAUUGCAGGCUGCCAGAUCAUAGUCCCUCUUGCUUCUGGUGCCUGCCCCUUUGUUGGUGAGGGUGGCCCAGGGACAUGUGCAGACUUUGUGGUGGGAGGGAAUGGCACCUUCCACUGAUAGGUAGGUGCAGCUAAGUCUUGUCCCUCUGAUGGUCAGAGACUUGUCAAGGUGUUUAGAGGUGGCAACUUUAAGCAGCCUAUCUGGGUUUUAUAACUUUUGGUGUAAGGACUAUUUAUAAGAUGACUCCCUGCCACCUCUUUCCUCAGUGUAGGUUGGCUGUUGUCCCCUACCCAGUUAGGAGGAGAUCCUUCUUGUCCUUUCAGGUGUUUUGAGUUUUUCUGCCAGUAUUCAGUAGGUUUCCUAUAAGUAUUUAUCCAUUUGUAGAUGUAUUCCUGAUAUAUUUGUAGGAAGAGGUGAGCUCCAUGUCCUCCUCCUACUCUGCCAUUUUGUCCUCUCAUCAAAUAUUUAUUAAAGUUAAAAUGAUGUAAAGCCAAUGGUUAGAUAAGAAUGAUAUUUACAAAGCAGUUUCCUAUUGGCAUAUUUUUUUUUUUUGGAUAGGAGGUUCACUACUAUGGGAAGAGUUUUGUUAUUCUACUUUUUAUAAAUAAAGGGUUUAUUAAUAGGAUUUAUUUAUAAAGUCAUAAUUAGUGAUCAUAUCUUAUAGCUUGGAAGGUAGCAUUAAUAUAGGUUACAAAAACCCAAAAUAAUCAACACAUCCCACCCCUGACUUCACAAUUCAUAAUAUGGCCUAACAAAAAAAUGUUUCAUCACACUUUAUUAUUUGAAUUAAAUAUUUAAAAAUAUAUUCUUCCAAAUCAGAGUAAUAACAAACCUAUUACUCUGUAUACUAAAAACAGAAAAAAGUAAACAACCAUAUAUGUAUUUGGGUUCUUCAGAGAAACAUAACCAAGAGGUUGUGCACACACAAGUCCCAUGAUCUACAGGGUGAAGGGUCAAACUGGAGCCAAGGAAAGCCAAUAGUACAGUUGUAGUCUGAGUCCAAAAGCCUGGGAAUCAGGAGAGUCCAUGGUGUAUCUCUAGUCUAAAGGCUGUCAGAUUGGAGACCCAGGAAGAGCCAAUGCCCAAGUUCAAAAUGAGAAAAAAAGCAGUUUCAAAACAAAGGCAGUCAAGUAGAAAGAAUCCUUUCUUCCUCAGGAGAUAAUCAGUCUUUUUUUCUAUUCAAGCUUUUAGCUAAUUUGCUGAAGCCCACACAAAUGAACCCCAUUAGGGAAAGUGAGCUUAAUUUAGUCUACCAUUUUAAAUGUUAAUCCUCACAGAAACCUCCAGAAUAAGAUUUGAUCAAGUAUCUGGAUGCCCCAUGGCCCAGUCAAGUUCACACAUAAAAUUAACCAUUUCACUAUGCUUAUAUAAUGUGCUAUAAAAUACUGAAAAUCUGAGACAAUGGUUUAUAUUUGUAGAGAAGAGUAUAUGACAGACUGUGGGUGUCACUGUUGAAUAGGACUGACCUUCUAACUCUGGGCCGCCUCCUCCCAUCAGUUCUUUCUCUAUAUUGACAACACCACUACCACCAAUUCUUCAGGGCUUUGUUUGGCCAGCAUCCAUACAAUGCACAAAUCCUUAGUUAUCUGUAUGUUUGUGGUCAAAUUCUCUAGCCUAGUAGCUUCAUUUGAAGGGAGAUAACUAUAUUCCCUGAACUUUGCUCCAUAAUCUCUAAAGGAAGAUUCCCAUCUCACCUUUUGUUACUAUGGAGAUGUGAUGUGGAAAAUUCACACCUUUUGUUACUAUGGAGAUAUGAUAUGGAAAAUUCAUAACAAAAAAUAAUGAAUUUCUAUUCUACCCUUACUAGCACAUUGUUCAUGAGAAUGUUACUUGCCCAAGUUACUAAUAUAUCUAACCUUCAAUUUUCCCCUGUACAAAAAAUGGAAGAAGAUAAUCUAAUUUACAAAGUUAGCAUAUAGACUGAUGUACAUAAAGUACCUAGCACCGUGCCUAGUAUGUAGUAAAAUUGAUUGUGUAAAUAUAAAUAGUAGACUCUAGGGGGUCUCUUUAACCCUGUGUUUCUAUUGACAUAAUUUUCCUACUAACACAGAUCUGAAAAUAGUAAUAGUGACCCCACAAUAAUAUUUCAUCAUAAUUUCUGCAACCCCUCCCUUAGAGUUAUUUUUUUGUUUGUUUGUUUUAAUGAACCAAAUAAGGAGAAAAGAUUCUUUGUUGUUUUCCCUCUCUUUUAGGUGUAUGUGAACUCUCACAUAAUCUCAUUCAAUAUUACCAAUUGUUGUCAAACUCAGAAGAUAAUGGGUGAAAUUUCAAGUUAUAAUAAUAUAUCAGAUUAUAGGGAAUAAGGACAGGCUUUGGACAUAUUUCAAAUAUCUUGGCUUCUUGAGAAAGCAGAUACUAAAUCUGUCACUAGACUCAGAAUCAAGUAGUCAGCCUUUGGCCCUCUUCCAGUAUAUAAUGGAACAAAUUCCAGACCUCUCCAAGAGUAAUUCUUUUUGCAGUCCAGAGACAUAAGGCUGCUAUAGUUAGAUGUUAAUAAAAGAUCUAAAUGCAGUGGAGCAAAAGACAGGAGGAGAAAGUCUUGGUGAGUAAGCCAAAUGGGCCAGCUAUCUGUCGUCUGGCAGCUGUCAGGAAGAAAGAGCAAAGAAUAGAAUUAUAAAGCAUGGCUACAUUUGCAGAUUAAAGAAAAUAACUCAUUUUCAGAUAAUUUUAAGAAAAUCAGAGUUAUAUACAGCUAUAAAGUUAAAGCUAUAGAGAUUAAGUAUAUAUUAUGUAAAAACGAAAAAAUAGAAUUCAAGAAUUUGGUGAAAAUUCUCUCAAUCCAAAAUUGUUCUUCUGUAAUGAAAUUAUAACUUCCAUCAUUUAUUAUUUCCAUUAAAAUGGAAGUCUGGUCUGAUUAGCUCAACAUAGAAUUUAAAAUUUAAAUCUCUAAAUUGAAUCCUGAUAUUACAUGGUUAUUCAGGCCAGGUGUAUGUUAAAGUAGACAGUAGCAUGUAGAUAAUAAUAAACAUCAUUUCUUGAACUAAUUCCUCCAGGGUAAUUUUAUUGGUGACCACAUGGUUGAGGUAAUGGUUGGUUCUGGUCAAUUAAAUUAAGUAAAUGCAAUUCUUUUCUAAUUUGAACAAUUUCAUUCAGAAUUAAAGUUAAAAAUAUUUUUCUAUAUUAAGCUACUCCAUCAGGAAAUUAUGAAAAAUUAUCGACUGAAGUUGAAAAAUAAAUGUCAAUGAGAAAUCCCCAACUAUAUGUGUAGUAAUUUAGGAUAUGUUUAUUCAUUCCAUUCUCAUAAUCAGUUAUGUAGAAAUUCAUAUCUACCAAAGCACAGUUUUAAAGUAAAGAUCUGGGAAGUUUCUUGGCAUCAAACUAAUGGUUACAGGAUAAUAUCAAUGUCACUUCCACAAUGCUUAAAUAUUCGUAGGUGACUAAAAUUGAUAUGUACCAAUUCCAACAAGGUAGAUCAUUGUAGAAGUGACUCACACCUAGGACUCUAUACCAAAUAUUAAACCUAAAUCUCAACAAAAAGGAGUAAAACAAGAAUUUGACUAUGCAAAGUAUGAAGAAUAUGAAGAAAUUUGAUGUCAAAAAGGCAAACGAAAUUUCAUAAAUGGAAAACACAAACAUUUGUGCAAAAACACAAAUUGAAUUUAUAUUAAAUCUAGAUUUAAUAUACAUUAGUAAACAUUAAACAUAUAAACAAUAAAGAUGGGUAGCAAAGAAUAUUUUCUAUAGGCAUGACAUUAUAGAAAAUGACAGAGUAGGACAUUCAAAUAAAUGGCCCCUCCCCUGAAAGAAAGAUAUACUCACAAAGAUUCACUAAUUCAAUUUUUCUUUGGAAAUGUGGGAACUAAUCCAAAACUUUCAUCGACCAGAGGACUACUUACUAAAGAAAAGCGAUUGCUAUGGUAUAUCCACUCACAUACUAUCUCCUAUUCUCCAGUAGCCAGUGUCCCCAGUGUAGGUGGCUGGUUCAGAGGGCUAAUACUGAUCUUGUUCUUAAAAUACUGUGGUUGUGCUUUUUCAAUAUGAAUUUUAGUGUAUAUUUGACUUACAAAUUUGUUUUAGUUUCAGGUGAACAACAAAGUAAAUCAGAUUCUUUUCCCAUAGAGGUUGUUACACAGUAUUGAAUACAUUAUCCUGUGCUAUACGGUAGGUCCUUGGUACCUAUUUUAUCUAUAACAGUGUGUAUAUGUGAAUCCCAACCCCCUAAUUUAUCCUCCCCCACUCAUUUCCACUACAGUAACCAUAAAUUUGGCUUGAAAAUCUUCAAGUCUCUUUCUAUUUUGUAAGUUCUUUUGUGUCACUUUUAUUAGAUCCCAUAUAUUUCAUAUGUAUUUCUCUGACAAUUCAAUUCACUUAGUAUAAUUUCUAGAUCCACCUAUCCUGCUGCAAAUGGCAUUAUUUCAUUCUUUUUAUAGCUGAGUAAUAUUCCAUUGUGUAUAUGUACCACACCUUCUUCAUCCAAUCCUCUGUUGAUGGAAAUUUAGGUUGCUUCCCUGUCUUGGCUAUUGUAAAUAGCGCUGCAGUGAACAUUGGGGUACAUGGAUC